UUCGGCAGCUAGAAAAUAACUUUUUUCGUUCUCUCCUUCCCGCGUGAUCUUGUGUCUUUCGUUCAUGCUGUUCUCUCCGAUCUGGCUCUAUUGUAUGCGGCGCAAUUCCAUUAGUCCGUCACAGCUGAAUUGUAAUAUUUUCGUAUGCAUAUGGAGACUUAAUGGAAUGUGGGGAGUGAGGUCUUUCUUUCUCAUGUUAUUCAUGGUAUUAACACUUCAGUGCAUUCAGCCACGGGCUACACGCCAUAUUUCCUGCACACUGGUCGUGAAUAUGUGAAAGAUGGAAACAAAUAUAAAUUAUUAUUGGAUGUAAAUCCAUACCAUACACAGGAUGUGGAACAGCGUAAAGUUCUGGCUGAUGAAAUUCGAGACAAACAGUUCGAACAAUAUCAACAAACCGCACAACGGGCAUUGACCCGCAAAAGAUAAUGCCAUUUCGAGAUAGGCUCGGAAGUGUACAUUCCCAAUCCUAAACAGUCCGUGGCCGGAGAGGGCUAUGCACAAAAACUAGCCCCACCAAAAAUUAGAGCCUAUGUUUCACGGAAACUUGGUUCGAAUUCAUAUGAACUGAUCGAUGCUAAACACCGAGUGCUUGGCAAUUAUUCCGCCGAUUUAAUCACAACACGUUAACUCAUUCAGUACAUUCGCCUUCUCAGAAUUUCAAUGAAUAUAUGGCGGGCCUCCAUACUCCAUUGAUUCUGCCUUAUUACAGGGUACCCGGCUUGAAUAAAUUAAUUAAGUUUAGUUUUGAUAUAUCCAUAGUUUUGUUAUAUUAUAUCCUCAGUACAUUGCUAGUAAAUCGAUCAAAGCGGCGCAAUUCCAUUAGUCCGUUACAGCUGAAUUGUAAUAUUUUCGUAUGCAUAUGGAGACUUAAUGGAAUGUGGGGUGUGAGGUGUGUUGCCUGCCCGCCACUUGGUGGUGCAGCGCAGCACCGGCCCUCAAAAGUUCCCCGUCGAAACACGCGGGGCGCGUCGUCCUGAACAUGCCCUAAAGUGACACCUGCCAAGACAAGUGUUGCACGUGACUGAUGUUACGUUACGGAAUAUCCUGGUGAUACACUAAGCAGAUUGUCCGAGGAACCAAGAGUUGUUGGCGGCGGCGAGUGGGUGUUGGUGCGGUUUUUUGUGGUGUUGUGUCGCGGUAGUGUUUAUGUUGUGCUGCUCAGGCAGACUGUGGUGUGCUGUAGAGGCAGCUCGGUUUGAGCAGCAAGGGGCCACGUAUGACCUGUUCCAUUGCCAGUCGUAAGGCUUGAGCAAACUCGGAGGUGAUUUCAUCCGUUACAAGAGUUGUACCUGACGGAAGAAGAGUUGUGGUGUAGUCGUCUCAGGCACAUGCAGCAGGUGUAGAUUUCUGGCCCAGGACUUAGCUCGAUGCCAGCCCUAGCAGAAGUUUGCGAAGCAGGGAGCUACUCUGUAAUGUGAUGAGAAAGAGAAAUUCGAUGCGAUAGGCGAUACAUCGUAAGUAAUACGCUGGUGCGUUUGCCUAUAGCAUAUAAUUUCUCUUUCGCAUCGCAUUACAGAGGAGCUCCCUGCUUCGCAAACUUCUGAUAGGGCUGGCAUCGAGUUAAAUCCUGGGCCAGAAAUCUACACCUGCUGCAUGUGCCUGAGACGACUACACCACAACUCUUCUUCCGUCAGGGUACAACCCGAGCCAUUCCGGUACGUAUAACCGGCUGUCGUGGGAAUGCUCAGGGUAGACAGUGACAAUUUGAAAGCGGCGGUGAUAUACUCGACUCCCGCAGGUCCUAGCUUUCUUAGCAUCUAAAAAAAACCAUAUCAGGCUCCAACUAAACGUCUUCGUCGCUCGCGCGAAAUACCAACAACCAAACACACCCAAAAUCCUGGGAGUGGAGUUUGAUAGCCUCCUCCUUCUCCGCGCACGCCUCAGAUACCUGCAACCAACUGCGUGCCAGGAACGAAGUCCUCAAGAGACCCUGCUCGCAACCCACAAUGCAUCGGCCGGGCAGUGGCAAUAGUCCAAGUUCACUUCCGCGAAGAAAGCCAGGUACUGGCGCUGAAAGAACACGAACACUAUAUUGUCGAAGCAAUUCCUCGUGGAAUUACGCGUACAUAAAUCAUCCAUGCUACACAGCAAGACACAGAGCGGCGAUCAACAGCCUACACUGCGAUGCGAUCGAAAUGAGCAUCCACACCCGCAAAGACAACAUCGUCCUAGGCGUUGUACUUUGUACAAUACCAUACAACCCCUAAAAUGAUAGGAUGACCACUGAGCAAUUGAAUAAUGCUUUGAUCUUUUUAGUUUCGAGCCCAGGUAAAAGUAAAUACACAAUGCGAUGUAGUUUCCCGCCCUGUAUUUGCUAGAGCUGUGGCCCGUUUAGUUUAUUAUUAUCAUAUUAUAAUAUAUGUAGUUGUUGCUUCUUUGUUGUUGAAUAUUCUAGAAAAAAGUUAAAACAAUAUAAUCUUUUUUUUUGACGUAGUAGUUCUUGCUAUUGUUGUUCAAUAUAUAGCAGAUAUACUUUUUAUUUUUUAUAAACUGAGUUUCGGAAAACUUAUGUUGGUUCUUUCUGCUGAUUUUAUUUUUGGAUGAUGUUAGAAACAACGACUGGUUCUCCUGACGCUCGCAGUUUCAGCUGUUUAAAUUAAAU